rnacentral:rRNA from 1 species
GAGUGAUGAAGGCCUUCGGGUCGUAAAACUCUGUUGUUAGGGAAGAACAAGUGCUAGUUGAAUAAGCUGGCACCUUGACGGUACCUAACCAGAAAGCCACGGCUAACUACGUGCCAGCAGCCGCGGUAAUACGUAGGUGGCAAGCGUUAUCCGGAAUUAUUGGGCGUAAAGCGCGCGCAGGUGGUUUCUUAAGUCUGAUGUGAAAGCCCACGGCUCAACCGUGGAGGGUCAUUGGAAACUGGGAGACUUGAGUGCAGAAGAGGAAAGUGGAAUUCCAUGUGUAGCGGUGAAAUGCGUAGAGAUAUGGAGGAACACUAGUGGCGAAGGCGACUUUCUGGUCUGUAACUGACACUGAGGCGCGAAAGCCUGGGGAGCAAACAGGAUUAGAUACCCUGGUAGUCCACGCCGUAAACGAUGAGUGCUAAGGGUUAGAGGGUUUCCGCCCUUUAGUGCUGAAGUUAACGCAUUAAGCACUCCGCCUGGGGAGUACGGCCGCAAGGCUGAAACUCAAAGGAAUUGACGGGGGCCCGCACAAGCGGUGGAGCAUGUGGUUUAAUUCGAAGCAACGCGAAGAACCUUACCAGGUCGUGACAUCCUCUGAAAACCCUAGAGAUAGGGCUUCUCCUUCGGGAGCAGAGUGACAGGUGGUGCAUGGUUGUCGUCAGCUCGUGUCGUGAGAUGUUGGGUUAAGUCCCGCAACGAGCGCAACCAUUGAUCUUAGUUGCCAUCAUUAAGUUGCGCACUCUAAGGUGACUGCCGGUGACAAACCGGAGGAAGGUGGGGAUGACGUCAAAUCAUCAUGCCCCUUAUGCCCUGGGCU